rnacentral:rRNA from 1 species
GCGCCUUCGGUGUCCGAGUUGUAAUUUGAAGAUUGUAACCUUGGGGUUGGCUCUUGUCUAUGUUUCUUGGAACAGGACGUCACAGAGGGUGAGAAUCCCGUGCGAUGAGAUGCCCAAUUCUAUGUAAGGUGCUUUCGAAGAGUCGAGUUGUUUGGGAAUGCAGCUCUAAGUGGGUGGUAAAUUCCAUCUAAAGCUAAAUAUUGGCGAGAGACCGAUAGCGAACAAGUACAGUGAUGGAAAGAUGAAAAGAACUUUGAAAAGAGAGUGAAAAAGUACGUGAAAUUGUUGAAAGGGAAGGGUUUGAGAUCAGACUCGAUAUUUUGUGAGCCUUGCCUUCGUGGCGGGGUGACCCGCAGCUUAUCGGGCCAGCAUCGGUUUGGGCGGUAGGAUAAUGGCGUAGGAAUGUGACUUUACUUCGGUGAAGUGUUAUAGCCUGCGUUGAUGCUGCCUGCCUAGACCGA